rnacentral:rRNA from 1 species
UGAACGCUGGCGGCGUGCUUAACACAUGCAAGUCGAACGAGAAUCGAUGGAUAGAGGCUUCGGCCAAUUGAAAUCGAGCUUAGUGGCGGACGGGUGAGUAACGCGUGAGUAACCUGCCUUGGAGUGGGGAAUAACACAGAGAAAUUUGUGCUAAUACCGCAUGAUGCAGUUGGGUCGCAUGGCCCUGACUGCCAAAGAUUUAUCGCUCUGAGAUGGACUCGCGUCUGAUUAGCUAGUUGGCGGGGUAACGGCCCACCAAGGCGACGAUCAGUAGCCGGACUGAGAGGUUGGCCGGCCACAUUGGGACUGAGACACGGCCCAGACUCCUACGGGAGGCAGCAGUGGGGAAUAUUGGGCAAUGGGCGCAAGCCUGACCCAGCAACGCCGCGUGAAGGAAGAAGGCUUUCGGGUUGUAAACUUCUUUUGUCAGGGACGAACAAAUGACGGUACCUGACGAAUAAGCCACGGCUAACUACGUG